GGAGAGGGGGAGGAAGAUGGUGGAGCUGGAGGCAGCAGCGGCCGGAGGGAAGGCUCGUGCCCAGGCUGGUCGCCCACCCUGUCAUUACCCCCGCGCCGCCUGCUAACGUGGGCCCGGCCAGACCCCAGCUGUCAGGCUACGAGGUCUGAAGCCACUUCCUGUUGGGCUACUCUGGACACUGAGCUCCUCAUUUGCCCUUUCUUAUACUUCCUCCAUUUUGGGAGCUGAAGACUGAGUUGCAUCUGCUGCGGUUGGUGGGUCUUAUUGCCCUGCCCGUGAAUGAACUGAACACCGUGGUGCUGGAGAGAAUUCAAGGCUGGGAAUCAGGAGAGACGUGGAUUUGAAUCUGCCUCUGAUGCUUACAAGCUGCCUAA